GCUGGAGUAUAGCUCAGUGGUAGAGUACUUGCCUACCAUCCAAAAGGCCACUGAGUUGGAUCCUCAAUACAGCG
rnacentral:tRNA from 1 species